GACGUAGGGGGCAAGCGUUGUCCGGAAUCAUUGGGCGUAAAGCGCUCGUAGGUGGAUCGGUAAGUCUGCAAAGAAAGACCCGGGCUCAACUCGGGGAACGGUGUGGAUACUACCGAUCUUGAGGCAAUCAAAGGAUGAUGGAAUUCCCGGUGUAGCGGUGGAAAUGCGUAGAUAUCGGGAGGAACACCAGUGGCGAAGGCGAUCAAUCUGGGGUUGUUCUGACACUGAGGAGCGAAAGCUAGGGGAGCAAACGGG
rnacentral:rRNA from 1 species